rnacentral:rRNA from 1 species
AAUAGAUACCCUGGUAGUCCACGCCGUAAAGAUGUCGACUUGGAGGUUGUUGCCCCUUUGAGGCGUGGCUUCCGGAGCUAACGCGUUAAGUCGACCGCCUGGGGAGUACGGCCGCAAGGUUAAAACUCAAAUGAAUUGACGGGGGCCCGCACAAGCGGUGGAGCAUGUGGUUUAAUUCGAUGCAACGCGAAGAACCUUACCUACUCUUGACAUCCAGAGAACUUAGCAGAGAUGCUUUGGUGCCUUCGGGGAACUCUGAGACAGGUGCUGCAUGGCUGUCGUCAGCUCGUGUUGUGAAAUGUUGGGUUAAGUCCCGCAACGAGCGCAACCCUUAUCCUUUGUUGCCAGCGGUUAGGCCGGGAACUCAAAGGAGACUGCCAGUGAUAAACUGGAGGAAGGUGGGGAUGACGUCAAGUCAUCAUGGCCCUUACGAGUAGGGCUACACACGUGCUACAAUGGCAUAUACAAAGAGAAGCGACCUCGCGAGAGCAAGCGGACCUCAUAAAGUAUGUCGUAGUCCGGAUUGGAGU